rnacentral:rRNA from 1 species
UACGAAGGGGGCUAGCGUUGCUCGGAAUCACUGGGCGUAAAGGGUGCGUAGGCGGGUCUUUAAGUCAGGGGUGAAAUCCUGGAGCUCAACUCCAGAACUGCCUUUGAUACUGAAGAUCUUGAGUUCGGGAGAGGUGAGUGGAACUGCGAGUGUAGAGGUGAAAUUCGUAGAUAUUCACAAGAACACCAGGGGCGAAGGCGGCUCACUGGCCCGAUACUGACGCUGAGGCACGAAAGCGUGGGGAGCAAACAGG